rnacentral:rRNA from 1 species
GCAAGUCUGGUGCCAGCAGCCGCGGUAAUUCCAGCUCCAAUAGCGUAUAUUAAAGUUGUUGCAGUUAAAAAGCUCGUAGUUGAACCUUGGGCUUGGUUGGCCGGUCCGCCUUUUUGGCGAGUACUGGACCCAACCGAGCCUUUCCUUCUGGUUAACCUUUCGCCCUUGUGGUGUUUGGCGAACCAGGACUUUUACUUUGAAAAAAUUAGAGUGUUCAAAGCAGGCCUUUGCUCGAAUAUAUUAGCAUGGAAUAAUAGAAUAGGACGUUUGGUUCUAUUUUGUUGGUUUCUAGGACCAUCGUAAUGAUUAAUAGGGACGGUCGGGGGCAUCAGUAUUCAGUUGUCAGAGGUGAAAUUCUUGGAUUACCUGAAGACUAACUACUGCGAAAGCAUUUGCCAAA